rnacentral:rRNA from 1 species
UACGGGGGGAGCAAGCGUUGUUCGGAUUUACUGGGCGUAAAGGGCGCGUAGGCGGCCACUGCAAGUCGGUUGUGAAAUCUCCGGGCUUAACCCGGAAAGGUCAAUCGAUACUGCAGGGCUAGAGUGCAGAAGGGGCAACUGGAAUUCUCGGUGUAGCGGUGAAAUGCGCAGAUAUCAGGAGGAACACCGGUGGCGAAGGCGGGUCUCUGGACCGUAACUGACGCUGAGGCACGAAAGCGUGGGGAGCAAACAGG